AGAGAGAGAGAGAGAGAGAGUAUUGGGCGGCUUUUCUUUACAACUUUCCUCUUUGCUUUUCAAAAGUAAACCCACCCCAGCAUCUUCCUUCUCUUUCCCCUUCUUCUCCAUUUAUCCAUUUAUAUACAUACUCACUCUCUCUCAUCUCUCUCUCUCUCUCUCUAGAAACGCAUUCAACCUGCCCAGAAUCUGAGACCAAAGUCGGCCAUUGUUUGUCUAUUCUGCUCUUCAUAUUCUUUACCACAUGAUUUAUAGUUAAAUUGGUAUCAUGACGAGAGUAGGACGAGAUUUUGCGAAUUCAAUGAAAAGGGAGGCAGUUCCUCCGGUCUCAGCGGACGUGAUAUUUGCUACUAGUCGGUUUCCAAAUUAUAAGAUUGGUGCUAACAACCAGAUUGUGGAGGUGAAAGAGGAUCUGAAAGUACUAACCAUGAAGGAGGUUGUUGCUAGGGAGACUGCCCAGCUGCUGGAACAGCAGAAGCGCCUUUCGGUUCGCGACCUUGCCAGUAAAUUUGAGAAGGGGUUGGCUGCUGCCGCUAAGUUGUCUGAUGAGGCUAGACUCAGGGAGGCAGCUUCAUGGGAGAAACACGUACUUCUAAAGAAGCUUAGAGAUGCGCUUGAAGCCUUAAGAGGCCGUGUGGCGGGCAAAAAUAAGGAUGACGUUGAAGAAGCUGUUGCUAUGGUUGAAGCAUUAGCAGUUCAGUUGACUCAGCGCGAAGGAGAACUAAUUCAAGAGAAGGAAGAAGUGAAAAAGCUUGCUGAUUUUCUUAAGCAGGCUUCAGAAGAUGCUAAGAAACUUGUCGAUGAAGAAAGAGCUUUUGCUCGGGCUGAAAUUGAGAAUGCCAGAGCAGCAGUUCAGAGAGUGGAAGAGGCUCUUCAGGAACAAGAACAAAUGUCCCGUGCUUCAGGGAAGCAGGAUAUGGAAGAAUUAAUGAAGGAGGUUCAAGAGGCUAGACGAAUCAAAAUGUUGCAUCAGCCUAGCAAGGUUAUGGACAUGGAGCAUGAGCUUCGAGCUUUGAGAAAUCACCUUGCUGAGAAAUCUAAGCAUUCUCUUCUGCUUCAGAAAGAGCUGGCAAUGAGCAAAAGGGGUGCAGACAACGAGGCUGACUCUUAUGAAUUAGAAGGUCCUGAAUCCUUGGGUUCAUAUUUGAGGAUCCAACCUUGCUCUGGUAGUGAUCCAGAGCUUUUAGAAUGUUUGAUCCAGUGGUAUCGUUUGACAACAGAAGGUGGCAAAAAGGAGCUUAUUUCAGGAGCCACAAAAUCAGUGUAUGCUCCAGAGCCCUUUGAUGUUGGUCGAAUCUUGCAAGCUGAAAUUUUUUCGUACGGACAGAAAAUCACAUUGACUACUACUGGUCCCAUAGAUCCUGCUGCAGGAUUGGGAAACUAUGUGGAAUCAUUGGUGCGGAGGCAUGACACCGAAUUCAAUGUAGUCAUUGCCCAGAUGAAUGGGGAAGAUUAUCCAUCACAGUCUAUCCACGUACUUCAUAUUGGUAAAAUGAGGAUGAAACUUUGCAAAGGCAAGUCGACAGUGGCUAAAGAAUACUAUUCCAUCACAAUGCAGUUAUGUGGCAUUAGAGGUGGUGGGAAUGCUGCUGCUCAGGCAUUGUUUUGGCAAGCAAAAGCAGGGCUUUCCUUUGUGUUGGCAUUUGAAUCAGCAAGGGAAAGGAAUGCAGCCAUUAUGCUUGCCAGGAGGUUUGCGUUUGACUGUAACAUAAUGCUUGGUGGGCCUGAUGACAGAGCUCCUCUAGCGAGCUGACGAAUCCACGGUCACUUCUUUAACGUAAUGUAUCUAUGUUGAUUUCAUAGUGUAUCACCUAAUUACAGAAUGUGUUUGCAGUGGUUUGCAGAUCUGGACAAGUCUAGACCAUUGUUUUCUUUGUUUUUUUGGCGCUUGAUGGGAAAUGGAGAUGCUCAACAUGUAUUUGAUGCUGCACCUUUGCUUAGUUUUUUAAGCGUCUUACCGAUUUUACCUGUGUUUCAUGUUGUUUUCUCGAUUUGCCCCACCCCAGUAAUUUUAAUUCCCUAUUCUACUCCCAGUGUACAUUUGCCCUUGUUCAUUAUGUAUUUGGUAUAGAUGACACCAAGUCUAUGUUGUACUGUAGAAUUUUGUCGAUGGCCGAGUUCGUGAAGGCUCUAUUCAGUAAUCAACAACUUUUUGUGGGAA